rnacentral:rRNA from 1 species
GAUGAACGCUGGCGGCGUGCCUAAUACAUGCAAGUCGAGCGAACAGACGAGGAGCUUGCUCCUCUGACGUUAGCGGCGGACGGGUGAGUAACACGUGGAUAACCUACCUAUAAGACUGGGAUAACUUCGGCAAACCAGAGCUAAUACCGGAUAAUAUAUCGAACUGCAUGGUUCAAUAGUGAAAGACGGUUUUGCUGUCACUUAUAGACUGAUCCGCGCCGCAUUAGUUAGUUGUUAAGGUACCAGCUUACCAAGGCAAGGAUGCGUAGCCGACCUGAGAGGGUGAUUGGCCACACUGGAACUGAGACACGGUCCAGACUCCGACGGGAGGCAGCAGUAGGGAAUCUUCCGCAAGGCGCGAAAGGCUGACGGAGCAACGCCGCGUAAAUGAUGAAGGACUUAGGCUCGGAAAACGCUGUUAUUAGGGAGGAACAAAAGUGUAAGUACCUAUGCACGUCUUGACGGUACCUAAUCAGAAAGCCACGGCUAACUACGUG